GGCCUUCGGGCCUUAGUAGCGCAGCUAACGCGUGAAGUUGACCGCCUGGGGAGUACGGUCGCAAGAUUAAAACUCAAAGGAAUUGACGGGGACCCGCACAAGCGGUGGAUGAUGUGGAUUAAUUCGAUGCAACGCGAAAAACCUUACCUACCCUUGACAUGUCUGGAAUCCCGAAGAGAUUUGGGAGUGCUCGCAAGAGAACCGGAACACAGGUGCUGCAUGGCUGUCGUCAGCUCGUGUCGUGAGAUGUUGGGUUAAGUCCCGCAACGAGCGCAACCCUUGUCAUUAGUUGCUACGAAAGGGCACUCUAAUGAGACUGCCGGUGACAAACCGGAGGAAGGUGGGGAUGACGUCAAGUCCUCAUGGCCCUUAUGGGUAGGGCUUCACACGUCAUACAAUGGUCGGGACAGAGGGUCGCCAACCCGCGAGGGGGAGCCAAUCCCAGAAACCCGAUCGUAGUCCGGAUCGUAGUCUGCAACUCGACUACGUGAAGUCGGAAUCGCUAGUAAUCGCGGAUCAGCAUGUCGCGGUGAAUACGUUCCCGGGUCUUGUACACACCGCCCGUCACACCAUGGGAGUGGGUUUCACCAGAAGUAGUUAGCCUAACCGCAAGGGGCACGAUUACCACGGUGGGGUUCAUGACUGGGGUGAAGUCGUAACAAGGUAACCGUA
rnacentral:rRNA from 1 species